rnacentral:rRNA from 1 species
UACAGAGGUCUCAAGCGUUGUUCGGAUUCAUUGGGCGUAAAGGGUGCGUAGGUGGCGCCGUAAGUCGGGUGUGAAAUUUCGGAGCUUAACUCCGAAACUGCAUUCGAUACUGCGGUGCUUGAGGAUUGGAGAGGAGACUGGAAUUCAUGGUGUAGCAGUGAAAUGCGUAGAGAUCAUGAGGAAGACCAGUGGCGAAGGCGGGUCUCUGGACAGUUCCUGACACUGAGGCACGAAGGCCAGGGGAGCAAACGGG